rnacentral:rRNA from 1 species
AGGUCAGGACACGGUAAGGAUUGACGGACUGAAGGCUCUUUCUCGAUUCCGUGGAAAGUGGUGCAUGGCCGUUUUUGGUUGGUGGAUCGAUCCGUCUGGUUAAUUCCGUUAACGAACGAGACCUCGGCACUCCGAAUAGCGCGGCGGACGUCGCGGCCUCCGGGCCGUCUUCCGCACGAGCUUCUUAGAGGGACCGUCCCCCGCCGGGGAAGGAGGUGCGAGGCAACGACAGGUCUGUGAUGCCCUUAGAUGUUCUGGGCCGCACGCGCAUUACACUGACGCGUCCAAACGGGGUGACUCCCCGACCCGAAGGGGCCGGGGAAUCCGCAAGGCGCGUCGUGAUGGGGAUUGAACGUUGCAAUUGUUGUUCACGAACGAGGAAUUCCUAGUAGGCGCGGGUCAAUCAAACCCGCGCCGAUUACGUCCCUGCCCUUUGUACAC